rnacentral:rRNA from 1 species
ACCAUGCAGUCGAGCGGUAACAGAUCUAGCUUGCUACAUGCUGACGAGCGGCGGACGGGUGAGUAAUGCAUAGGAAACUGCCCAGUAGUGGGGGAUAGCCCGGGGAAACCCGGAUUAAUACCGCAUACGUCCUUCGGGAGAAAGCAGGGGAUCUUCGGACCUUGCGCUAUUGGAUGUGCCUAUGUCGGAUUAGCUAGUUGGUGGGGUAAGAGCCUACCAAGGCGACGAUCCGUAGCUGGUCUGAGAGGAUGAUCAGCCACAUCGGGACUGAGACACGGCCCGAACUCCUACGGGAGGCAGCAGUGGGGAAUAUUGGACAAUGGGGGCAACCCUGAUCCAGCCAUGCCGCGUGUGUGAAGAAGGCUUUCGGGUUGUAAAGCACUUUCAGUGAGGAGGAAAAGUUAGUCCUUAAUACGGGCUAGCCUUGACGUUACUCACAGAAGAAGCACCGGCUAACUCCGUGCCAGCAGCCGCGGUAAUACGGAGGGUGCAAGCGUUAAUCGGAAUUACUGGGCGUAAAGCGCGCGUAGGUGGUUUGAUAAGCGAGAUGUGAAAGCCCCGGGCUUAACCUGGGAACGGCAUUUCGAACUGUCAGGCUAGAGUAUGGUAGAGGGUAGUGGAAUUUCCUGUGUAGCGGUGAAAUGCGUAG